UAAGGCCAAGGGCCUGCGCCAAAAGAGAAGAGUAUGACCUUGAUCGAACGAUGACGGUUUACUAUUUCGAUAAGUUCAAAAUAUUACCCUUUAAGGCCAAGGGCCUUCGCCAACAAGAGAAGAGUUCGACCUCGAUCGAACAACGACGUGUUACUAUUUCGAUAAAUUCGAAAUAACGCCCUUUAAAGAAAAGGGCCUUCACCAAAAAGAGAAGAGUUCGACCUCGAUCGAACGACGAUGAGUUACUAUUUCGAUAAGUUCGAAAUAACACUCUUUAAGGCCAAGGGCCUUCGCCAAGAAGAGAAGGGUUCGACCUCGAUCAAACGAUGAUGGGUUAAUAUUUUAACAAGUUCAAAAUAACACCCUUUAAGGCGAAGGGCCUUCGCCAAAAAGAGAAGAGUUCGACCUCGAUCGAACGACAACGGGUUACUAUUUUGAUAAGUUCGAACUAAUACACUUUAAGGCCAAGGGCCUUCGCCAAAAAAUAGGAGUUCAACCUCGAUUGAACGACGAUCGAUUACUAUUUUGAUAAGUUCGAAAUAACACCCUUUAAGGACAAGGGCCUUCGCCAAAAAGAGAAGAUUUCGAACUCGAUCGAAAGACGACGGGUUACUAUUUCGAUAAGUUUGAAAUAAC
rnacentral:lncRNA from 1 species